UUCAAGAGAAUCCUUCUCAACCAGCUGAAGAUGCUUGUACUUCCCGCCUCUGACCCCCUGAGAUGAAACGUCAAACACUUCGCAGCUGCUCUGCACUUUCUUUUCUCACAGUAGCAGCGCCUUGGCCACAGACUCACUGACUUGUAACAGAAUGACGUCGUUCUUGAAGCUUAAUUCUGAGAACUGAACUGCUGUGAAACAGACCACAAACAUCAAAUAUUUGGUUUUGUGAAAACAUGAACAAGGUUCCCU